ensembl:miRNA
UUUAAUGUAUGAUUAAAGUUUUUGAUGUCGCAGAUACUGCAUCAGGAACUGAUUGGAUACAAAUAUAUCACCAUCAGUUCCUAAUGCAUUGCCUUCAGCAUCUAAACAAG